CUAGCCCGCUAAUGCUAGCAAGCUAUUGAUCGCCGGCUAACGUUAGCAUGCGAUUGAUCGUCGCUAAUGCUAGCACAAUAUCGAUCACCAGCUAACCAGAUCAACAGGCACCAGGUGCAGUGCUUCCCUGGGUCGUCGUCGCUGGUGUUUCUCUCGUUGUGAAUGUCAUCUGCAUCAUCCUCUUGGUGUUCCUUUGGAACACAAGAAAUAAGGUGAAACC